rnacentral:rRNA from 1 species
UACGAGGGGUGCAAGCGUUGCUCGGAAUUAUUGGGCGUAAAGGGUUGGUAGGUGGUCUUAUUUGUCUGGGGUGAAAGCCUUGGGCUUAACUCAAGAAGUGCCCCAGAAACGAUAAGACUAGAGUCUCGGAGAGGGUCGUGGAAUUCCCGGUGUAGCGGUGAAAUGCGUAGAGAUCGGGAGGAACACCAGCGGCGAAGGCGACACCCUGGACUCAUACUGACACUGAGGUGCGAAAGCGUGGGGAGCAAACAGG